AUUGAACGCUGGCGGCAGGCCUAACACAUGCAAGUCGAACGGUAACAGGAAGAAGCUUGCUUCUUUGCUGACGAGUGGCGGACGGGUGAGUAAUGUCUGGGAAACUGCCUGAUGGAGGGGGAUAACUACUGGAAACGGUAGCUAAUACCGCAUAACGUCGCAAGACCAAAGGGGGGGACCUUCGGGCCUCUUGCCAUCGGAUGUGCCCAGAUGGGAUUAGCUAGUAGGUGGGGUAACGGCUCACCUAGGCGACGAUCCCUAGCUGGUCUGAGAGGAUGACCAGCCACACUGGAACUGAGACACGGUCCAGACUCCUACGGGAGGCAGCAGUGGGGAAUAUUGCACAAUGGGCGCAAGCCUGAUGCAGCCAUGCCGCGUGUAUGAAGAAGGCCUUCGGGUUGUAAAGUACUUUCAGCGGGGAGGAAGGGAGUAAAGUUAAUACCUUUGCUAAUUGACGUUACCCGCAGAAGAAGCACCGGCUAACUCCGUG
rnacentral:rRNA from 1 species